UACAGAGGGUGCAAGCGUUGUUCGGAAUUAUUGGGCGUAAAGCGCGUGUAGGCGGCUUUGCAAGUCGGGUGUGAAAGCCCUCAGCUCAACUGAGGAAGUGCGCCCGAAACUGCAGAGCUUGAGUGUCGGAGAGGAUGGCGGAAUUCCCCAAGUAGAGGUGAAAUUCGUAGAUAUGGGGAGGAACACCGGUGGCGAAGGCGGCCAUCUGGACGAUUACUGACGCUGAGACGCGAAAGCGUGGGGGAGCAAACAGG
rnacentral:rRNA from 1 species